AUGAACGCUGGCGGCGUGCCUAAUACAUGCAAGUCGAGCGAACAGACGAGGAGCUUGCUCCUCUGACGUUAGCGGCGGACGGGUGAGUAACACGUGGAUAACCUACCUAUAAGACUGGGAUAGCUUCGGGAAACCGGAGCUAAUACCGGAUAAUAUAUUGAACCGCAUGGUUCAAUAGUGAAAGACGGUUUUGCUGUCACUUAUAGAUGGAUCCGCGCCGCAUUAGCUAGUUGGUAAGGUAACGGCUUACCAAGGCAACGAUGCGUAGCCGACCUGAGAGGGUGAUCGGCCACACUGGAACUGAGACACGGUCCAGACUCCUACGGGAGGCAGCAGUAGGGAAUCUUCCGCAAUGGGCGAAAGCCUGACGGAGCAACGCCGCGUGAGUGAUGAAGGUCUUCGGAUCGUAAAACUCUGUUAUUAGGGAAGAACAAAUGUGUAAGUAACUAUGCACGUCUUGACGGUACCUAAUCAGAAAGCCACGGCUAACUGCGUG
rnacentral:rRNA from 1 species